AUUGAACGCUGGCGGCAUGCCUUACACAUGCAAGUCGAACGGUAGCGGGCCUUCGGGUGCCGACGAGUGGCGAACGGGUGAGUAAUGUAUCGGAACGUACCUUUCAGUGGGGGAUAACGUAGCGAAAGUUACGCUAAUACCGCAUAUUCUGUGAGCAGGAAAGCAGGGGAUCGCAAGACCUUGCGCUGAUUGAGCGGCCGAUAUCAGAUUAGCUAGUUGGUGAGGUAAAGGCUCACCAAGGCGACGAUCCGUAGCGGGUCUGAGAGGAUGAUCCCCCACACUGGUACUGAGACACGGACCAGACUCCUACGGGAGGCAGCAGUAGGGAAUAUUGGUCAAUGGACGCAAGUCUGAACCAGCCAUGCCGCGUGCAGGAUGAAUGUCCUAUGGAUUGUAAACUGCUUUUAUAUGGGAAGAAACCCCUGAAUGCGUUCGGGGCUGACGGUACCAUAUGAAUAAGGAUCGGCUAACUUCGUGCCAGCAGCCGCAGUAAAAC
rnacentral:rRNA from 1 species